UUUUGUAUGUUUUUUCUA
rnacentral:sRNA from 1 species